rnacentral:rRNA from 1 species
CGAUUAGUUAGUUGGCGGGGUAAUGGCCCACCAAGACAGUGAUCGGUAUCCGGCCUGAGAGGGCGCACGGACACACUGGAACUGAAACACGGUCCAGACUCCUACGGGAGGCAGCAGUGGGGAAUUUUGCGCAAUGGGGGAAACCCUGACGCAGCAACGCCGCGUGGAGGAUGAAGUACUUCGGUACGUAAACUCCUUUCGAUCGGGACGAUUAUGACGGUACCGGAAGAAGAAGCCCCGGCUAACUUCGUGCCAGCAGCCGCGGUAAUACGAGGGGGGCGAGCGUUGUUCGGAAUUAUUGGGCGUAAAGGGUGCGUAGGCGGUUUGGUAAGUCUUUUGUGAAAUCUAUGGGCUCAACUCAUAGACUGCAAGGGAAACUGCCGGGCUUGAGUAUGGGAGAGGUGAGUGGAAUUCCUGGUGUAGCGGUGAUAUGCGUAGAUAUCAGGAGGAACACCUGUGGCGAAAGCGGCUCACUGGACCAUUACUGACGCUGAUGCACGAAAGCUAGGGGAACAAACAGGAUUAGAUACCCUGGUAGUCCUAGCCCUAAACGAUGACUGCUUGGUGUGACGGGUACCCAAUCCCGUUGUGCCGUAGCUAACGCGUUAAGCAGUCCGCCUGGGGAGUACGGUCGCAAG